rnacentral:rRNA from 1 species
GACGAACGCUGGCGGCGUGCUUAACACAUGCAAGUCGAGCGAAGAGCGACGGAAGCUUGCUUCUAUCAAUCUUAGUGGCGAACGGGUGAGUAACGCGUAAUCAACCUGCCCUUCAGAGGGGGACAACAGUUGGAAACGACUGCCAAUACCGCAUACGAUCUAACCUCGGCAUCGAGGAUAGAUGAAAGGUGGCCUCUACAUGUAAGCUAUCACUGAAGGAGGGGAUUGCGUCUGAUUAGCUAGUUGGAGGGGUAACGGCCCACCAAGGCGAUGAUCAGUAGCCGGUCUGAGAGGAUGAACGGCCACAUUGGGACUGAGACACGGCCCAGACUCCUACGGGAGGCAGCAGUGGGGAAUCUUCCGCAAUGGACGAAAGUCUGACGGAGCAACGCCGCGUGAGUGAUGACGGCCUUCGGGUUGUAAAGCUCUGUUAAUCGGGACGAAAGGCCUUCUUGCGAAUAGUGAGAAGGAUUGACGGUACCGGAAUAGAAAGCCACGGCUAACUACGUG